rnacentral:lncRNA from 1 species
UAGGAGGCCUCUUGGGGGAGAUCUGAAGGUAAGAGUGUAGCAAAAGGGAAAGAGCGUAAAGAAAGGUGAUGCAGGAGUGAUCUCAGGUGUGAGUUGGGCCUGUGGGGUGUCUAUGUUCCCUGAGGUAAGGCAGGGGAGAUGGGAAGGAGGAAAGGCAGGUAGAGGGUAAGUUAUCAUCAACAGCAAGGACCGCUAUCAUCAGGCCAUCAUGAAGACAAUGGUAUAUUCAAAUGAUGGAGUUACGAGGACUCAGGAACAACACAAAUGUCAGCACUUCUGGACCACCUUCCUUUAACUUGAACUUGCUGCCUUGGGGCUAUGUUACCUUGACUUUCUCUGCGGCAUCAUUAACAGGACCCAUCAUCAUCUUGCUUGACCAGGGCACUCACAGAGGGAAGAUCUAAGAAGACACAGAAAAAGAAUGAUUAUCUGCAAACGGAGAGAGAUGGGCUCUAUGACACCUGGAUCAUUAACUCAAAGACCACAACUGUUAGAAAAUAGACUUCAGGAGUUUGGGCCAAAAAAAAACCAGUGUUUUCCUCGGAUGCCCUGAAAAGCCAAUGUGCUCUGUCUCCCUCUCCCACCCAGUGCCUGGAACAAUAUGCCACCUAUUUCCCCCUCCCCUCAAAAAAACCUCCUCCC